rnacentral:rRNA from 1 species
UACAGAGGUCUCAAGCGUUGUUCGGAUUCAUUGGGCGUAAAGGGUGCGUAGGCGGCCCUGUAAGUCAGUGCUGAAAUACCCCGGCUUAACCGGGGGGGGUGGCAUUGAUACUGCAGGGCUUGAGUACAGAUGAGGUAGGCGGAAUUGACGGUGUAGCGGUGAAAUGCAUAGAUAUCGUCAAGAACACCGAUAGCGAAGGCAGCUUACUGGGCUGUAACUGACGCUGAUGCACGAAAGUGUGGGGAUCAAACAGG